rnacentral:rRNA from 1 species
GUGGGGAAUAUUGGGCAAUGGGCGCAAGCCUGACCCAGCAACGCCGCGUGAAGGAAGAAGGCUUUCGGGUUGUAAACUUCUUUUAUGAGGGACGAAGAAAAUGACGGUACCUCAUGAAUAAGCCACGGCUAACUACGUGCCAGCAGCCGCGGUAAUACGUAGGUGGCAAGCGUUAUCCGGAUUUACUGGGUGUAAAGGGCGUGUAGGCGGGACUGCAAGUCAGAUGUGAAAUUCCAGGGCUCAACCCUGGACCUGCAUUUGAAACUGUGGUUCUUGAGUGAUGGAGAGGCAGGCGGAAUUCCCUGUGUAGCGGUGAAAUGCGUAGAUAUAGGGAGGAACACCAGUGGCGAAGGCGGCCUGCUGGACAUUAACUGACGCUGAGGCGCGAAAGCGUGGGGAGCAAACAGGAUUAGAAACCCCUGUAGUCC